GACCGAUUGGCCUAGUGGUUUUAGGGCGUCUGUCUUACACACAGAAGGUCCCCGGUUCGAUCCCGGGAUCGGUCA